ensembl:lncRNA
ACUAUGACGAGCUGCCAUCUAGUGGAAAAGUGGAGAUCACAUCUCAGCCAGUCACUAAAGGUGCUAAAAAGACUGUUCUCAAAUCUGCAAGGAGUGGAAAAAGCUACGUUAGAAAGGUGGGAGUUGCAUAUACAAGGCUCCCCAUGGGUAAACAAACUCAGGCUGGCAUUUGAACCUCUGAGGGCAGUGUAUCUGCACAGAAAUUUGCAACACAUGUACAUAUGUUCAUAACAUUACAUGUGCGUGUGUUCAUGAUGUUUAAAAUAUAACAAACCAGACAUCCCUGGAGCUACAGAUGCCUGGUGUGCAUCGUGUUGGUGAUUAGCAUCCCUUGACCAUUCUGAAGUCCAGGAACCCUGACUGCCAGGAAAGCCCUCAAGACAGCAGUUUCACUGGGUGGAAGGCACCACAGUAGCUGUGGGAAGAUGUUAUUUUUGCAGAGGCUGCUUAGCAUAGACUAUCACUAAGGGUCAGCACUUCCCAAGAGAGCCAGUAGUUGGCAAGGCACAGAAAACAGACACCUUGAUUUCACUGUGGCGAUGCAGACACACCGUGCAUAACAGCGUGAACUUCCCUUCACCCUGCCCUCCUCCCAGCUCUGAAGAACAACAAAUGCCACAAACUGAGAGGAACACUUUGAGGGAAGCUUGCAGCGCAGUGGAUGGACACCAGGUAUGUCAUGAGCAUUUUGAGCAGCACAAGUCCCAGAACAGACUCCUGUAGUGGUUCAUUGCAAGACUUGCCAUUUACUCUUAUGUUUUAUGCCUCCAAUACUAUUUUAAUUCAUGCACUAACCUUCCCUCCUCUCCCACCGUUGCUCAGUUCUCAGAAAAACAUUGCAAGGGCUUUUUAGAUCUCCAAGUACUAUGUAUGAAUUGGCUUUCCCUUAUCCGCAUGCUUGCUG